rnacentral:rRNA from 1 species
AUUGAACGCUGGCGGCAGGCCUAACACAUGCAAGUCGAGCGGUUGACGGGAGCUUGCUCCCUGAUUCAGCGGCGGACGGGUGAGUAAUGCCUAGGAAUCUGCCUAUUAGUGGGGGACAACGUUUCGAAAGGAACGCUAAUACCGCAUACGUCCUACGAGAGAAAGCAGGGGACCUUCGGGCCUUGCGCUAAUAGAUGAGCCUAGGUCGGAAUAGCUUGUUGGUGAGGUAAUGGCUCACCAAGGCGACGAUCCGUAACUGGUCUGAGAGGAUGAUCAGUCACACUGGAACUGAGACACGGACCAGACUCCUACGGGAGGCAGCAGUGGAGAAUAUUGGACAAUGGGCGAAAGCCUGAUCCAGCCAUGCCGCGUGUGUGAAGAAGGUCUUCGGAUUGUAAAGCACUUUAAGUUGGGAGGAAGGGUUGUAGAUUAAUACUCUGCAAUUUUGACGUUACCGACAGAAUAAGCACCGGCUAACUCUGUGCCAGCCGCCGCCGUAA